UGGAAAGAAAGGGGGGGCAGAAGUGGCAGUGGGGAGGAGAGGCGGCUGGGCCCGGAAGCGGAGACUGUUGCAGAAGUGGGGGGAAGUAACCACCAGCCCCAAAGAGCGCACAGAUCCUCUGUGCGGGGUCUGCUAGUAACCUAUAAAGCCCUAAACAACUUAGGCCCACGGUACUUAAGAGAGCGUCUUCUUCUGCAUGAUCCCCAUCAUACACUGCAUACAUCAGAGGCGGCUAGUCUGUGGCUACCUUCAUGUCAUCUGAUGGCCACCCAGGGAUGGGCCUUCUCUGAUGUCACCCCGAGACUUUGGAACACGCUUCCCGUGGGAAUAAGAGUCUCCUCGUCUCUUGUGGCCUUUAAAAAGUGAAGAAUUACCUUUUUACUCAGGCUUUUUAACUUUUUAAAUUUUAGAUUAUUAUUGAUCUGUUUUAAACUGUUUUUUUAGCAUUUAUUUGAUUUUAAUGUUUUGUUUAGUGUUGUUGUGAACUGCCCUAAGACUUUGGUUUGGGGCGGUAUACAAAUAUGUUAGUUCAAUCAAUCAAUCCAAGGGCACUUUCUGGCAAUACUUAAGCAGAACAAGAAGGGGCUACUACACUGUUGUGACUCCUAUACCACAAAGGUAAUCUGAAGUUCUGGAUCAUGUGAGAGGAACCCACGCUGACAACAAAAAUCUGUUGUCCCCCAAGUGUAAAAUUUUUACCAUUAGCCCCAUAACUCAUACACAUCAACUUCCCACAGUGAAUUCCAGCACUAUGAUUAUAUCACUUAGAAUUCCCAGAUCAGGAGCCAGCUUGGAAACAAGGUGCUCAGAUUAUCAUUUUGUAAAAUUCAGGCUUUGAUAGAGGUCAGAAUUGAGUGUGCUUGAAGAACAAGCUCUUAAUUAGCGUAGAGGAUGCCUGCCUCUCAAAAGGGGUCUGCAGAGCAGCUUAAGGGGAAUGUUUCUUGACCCUCUACUCCUCGAUCCUCAAGGACGAUAGGCUGACCUAGAGUUGUCCUGAUGUUACAUUCUUGUACCAUAUAUUUCACUUUUAAAGUUAACACAGUACAGUCAUUCACACAAAAACAUGCAUGUUUGUACAGACAUCUGAAUGCAGGUACAUAAUGUCUGAAGAGGGCUUUUGUCUCAUCUUUCACCAUUAUGACUUUAUAUGCAACUACAGUGGUCCCUCGACUUACGAAGAUAAUCCGAUCCGAACGCACGUUCGUAGGUCGGAAUUUUCGUAAGUCGAAAAGCACAUCCACGGAGCUCCGGAACACUCGUAAGUCGAGGAAACCGCAUCUAAAAAUUCGUAGGUCAAGGAAGCCGCAUCUAAACCGGCAACGACUUCCGGUAUUUUUUGUCGUUCGUAUGUCAAAAUCUUCGGAUGUCGAGGGACCACUGUAGUAUGUUUAAGCCCGUUAUAAUAACGGGCGCUAGCCUUUCCCCCCCGCUUUAAGUCUUUUUCAUCUUUUACUUUUUUUUUUAACCUGUCUGUCUGCUUCUUUCUCUCUCUGUCUCUUCCUCUUUUUCUGUUUGUUUUUGUUUUCCUGCACCGUUUUUUCACCUCUUCCCUCUCCCUUGUUCCUUUUUUGAAGUGCUGCCUCUACACUCUUCACUGCCUCUGACUCCCAGCGGCUCUCGCAGCCGCUUUGCAGCUCCGUUCAACAUUGUGUAAAAUGCCGUUUUGAAGUGCUGCCUCUACAGUCUUCGCGGCGGUCCUGGAGCCGGCGCCGCCUCUGACUUCCAGUGGCUCUCGUAGCCGCUUGCUUGCUCCCUCGCGUCGCCCGCUCUCCAGAGAGGAGAGACGGUUGCCAACCUUUUCGUUCUCUGUGUCUGCUCUUGCUCUUCCUCCUCCUCGGGCUGGCGCACCUUCUCAUUCUGCAACCCGAGCCCCCACUCCCACCCGCGCUCUCUCCCUCCCUCGAGCCAGUUUUCGAGGAGAGAAGGAACUUUCUCCCCAUCUUUUCCUCUCUUUUUCUGACGGGGAGGAAGGGGCAACGGCAAGGUAUUCUUCAGCAGCUCCUUGAACUCUCGCUUGAUCCUCUGCACUGUGAUGUUGGCCAUCUCCGCAGCGGGCUCCCACGACCCGCACAACACUCAGGGCGCUGCAGCCACCUCUCAGCCAAGCUGGGCCAAGCACCGCCACCUGUCACCACCACCCCCGCUCCCGCUGGUUAAUCCCCGGCCCUUCCUAAUUGGCGCCUCCGCCGAGCAUGCACAUUGUGACAUGCGGAGCUUGCCCGGCCCUCCACUUCUUGUUCCCUCCGCUUCCUUGUUCCACCAGGCCGGAAAGUAGCGACCUCUCUGGGGAACGGAAGGGAAGCUCGCCGGGCAGAGUCACAAACAUGGCCGCCUGUUCCUUUUGUCCAUUUCUGACUCGGCCGUUCUGUGCAUGUGCUCCGCGCAUGCCCGGAACAUCCGAGGGAGGCACGGACACACGCUUGGUGUCCGUCCACGGAUGGACACCAAGCGUUUUAUUAGAGAGGAUUGUCUUUGCUAUUUUCUCCAGCAUUUUAUUACAUGUAUUGCAUGCACAUGUGCACACACACUUAUUUCAGAAUUUUGAAGUUUGAUUACAUGUAGCUCUAGAGAAGGUUAUUGGAUCCAAUAGGAUUCGAAGAAGCCUUGGAGGGAUUUAGGGUUGGUUCUGCUGGUAAUCUUGUGGAGAACUGGAAUGAUCAACUCACCAUGGUAGUGGACACGAUUGCUCCUAAGCAUCCUCUCCAACCCACUUCCAAACUGGUCCCUUAAUAUAUGGAAGAACAACAGGGGCUGAAAUGGUGAGGUAGACAACUAGAGUGCAAGUGGAGAAAGACUUGACUCUAAUCCAACACAUUACUACAUAGAGUGCAUUUGAAGAUCUAUGCUCAGGUGAUACUUGCAACAAAGAAGCAAUUCUUUUCCUCCCAUAUCAUGUCCACAAGUUUACAUCCAGCAGAGUUGUUCAGGGCUGUGAAGGGGCUAAUGUGUGCCAAGGUCUGAUGCCAAGGUGUCCAGCAGCUCCUCUGAUGUGAUAACACUGGAUCAAUUCCAGUUUGUGACUCCUGAGGAUGUGGACAAGUUGCUUGGAAUGGUGCGGCCUAUCAUCUGUCCUCUUGAUCCUUGCUCGACAAGGCUUAUACUCUCUGGCAGGGAGGCUGUUGUAGAGGGCCUGGUAGAGAUUAUAAAUGCAUCUCUGAGGUAGGGCAGGAUGCCUCCUUGUCUUAAGGAGGCAAUCAUUAGACCACUUCUUAAGAAGCCUGCCUUGGAUCCCUCAGAAUUAAGCAACUACAGGCCUGUCUCCAACCUUCCAUGGUAGGGCAAGGUGAUUGAGAAGGUGGUGGCCUCCCAGCACCAGGCAGUUUUGGAGGAAACUAUCUUCUAGACCCAUUUCAAACUGGCUUUCAGGUGGGAUAUGGCAUGGAGACUGCCUUGGUCAGUCUGAUGGAUUAUCUCAAAUUGGGAAUUGACAAAGGGAGUGUGACCCCGUUGGUCCUUUCGGAUAUCUCUCAGUGGCUUUCGAUACUAUUGACCAUAGUAUUCCUCUGGAACGUCUGAAGGGAUUUGGGGUGGGAGGCACUACUUUGCAAUGGUUCUGCUCCUACUUCACGGGCAGAUUCCAGAUGGUGUCCCUUGGAGACUGUUGUUCUUCCAAAUCCGAACUUUCCUAUGGUGUCCCUUAGGGUUCCAUAUUGUCUCCAAUGUUUAUCAUUUACAUGCAACCACUGGGAGUGAUCAUCACGAGAUUAGGUGCAAGGUGUUAUCAAUAUGCUGAUGACACCCAAAUCUAUUUCUUCAUGUCAACAUCAUUGGGAGAAGGCAUAACCUCCCUAAAUGCCUGCCUGGAGGCAUUAAUGGGCUGGAUGAGGGAUAACAAACUGAGGCUGAAUCCAGAUAAGAUAGAGGUACUUAUUGUGUGGGGUUGGAACUCGAGAGACAAUUUUGAUCUGCCUGUUCUGGAUGGGGUCACACUUCCCCAGAAGGAACAGGUAAGCAGUUAGGGGUGCUUCUGGAUCCAAGUCUCUCCUUGGUGUCCCAGGUUGAGACAGUGGCCAGAAGUGCCUUCUAUCAGCUUUGGCUGAUACACCAGCUGCGUCCAUUUCUUGAGUUAGACGACCUCAAAACAGUGGUACAUCUCCUGGUAACCUCCAGACUGGAUUACUGCAAUGCGCUCUAUGUGGGGCUGCCCUUGUACAUAGUCCGGAAACUACAGUUGGUCCAGAAUGUGGCAGCCAGCCUGGUCUCUGGAUCAUCUAGGAGAGACCAUAUUACUCCCAUAUUGAAGGAGUUACACUGGCUGCCAAUAUGUUUCCAGGCAAAAUACAAGGUGUUGGUCAUAACCUAUAGAGCCCUAAACAGCUUGGGCCCUGGGUUUUUAAGAGAACAGCUUCUUCGUAAUGAACCCGCCGCCCAUUGAGAUCAUCAGGAGAGGUCUGUCUGCAUUUGCCACCAGCUCGUCUGGUGGCUACUCAGGGACAGGCUUUCUCCAUUGCUGCCCCGAGGCUUUGGAAUGUGCUCCUUAGUGAAAUAAGAGCCUCCCCAUCUCUGACAUCCUUUAAAAAGUCCUUAAAGACGCAUUUCUUCACCCAGGCUUUUAACUGAUAUUGUUUUGAUUGUUUUGAAUGUUGUUUAUAGAAUAUUGUUUUAAAAUGUUAAAUUGUGUUUUAAAUUUCUUGCUUUUAAUUUUUUUGUUUUGCUUUUGUUUUUAAUUAAUGUUUUACUUUUCAAUCUUCUUGUAAAACGCCCAGAGACGUAAGUUUUGGGUGGUGUAAAAAUAUGAUAGAUAGAUAGAUAACCUAUAAAGCCCUAAAUGGCUUAGGCCCUGAGUAUUUAAGAGAAUGUCUUCUUCACCAUGAGCCCCACCACCCGUUAAAAUCAUCUGGAGAGGUUCACGUGUGGUUGCUGCCAACUUGGGAACGAGUCUUCGUUGCUGAUCUGGACUUUGGAAUCCUCUCCCUGUUGAAAUAAGAGCCUCCCCAUCUCAGGCAACUUUUAAAAAGGCACUGAUGACACAUUUAUUCACCCAGGCUUUUAAUUAGAUUUAUGGUUUUAAAUUUUUAAUGUUGGUUUUAAAUUAUUUUAAUUAAUUGUUCUUAUUUUGAUGUAAACCUCCCUGAGCCAUUUUUGGGUAGUCUAUAAAUCAAAUCAGAUCAAAUAAAUAAAUACAGUCAGAAUCACAAAUGCUGCAAUCCAGCAAUCUCUUACCAUACAUGGUGGAGCUGUUGCAUCUAUGGAAUAAGGACAGCUCAGCUAAUCUGCUUCACACUUACAAAACCGAGUGCAAAAUCUUUAUGUGCUAGAGUAUCUCAGGUGAAUGGGCCCAUUGCUAUGGCUGAAGUGCACAUGACCAUGAAGGUGCAGGUAACCACCAGUCACUUCCACAUUCAGAUUUGACGGACUACUCACUUGCAAACAAUAGUUCCCUCCAACAGCAGAACUUGAGCACAGCCCUUGUUUAGCACACAUGAAAGUUUCUUGAUUGGGGGCAUAAAACUUGGCCUUUCAUUACUGUGAAGUCACUAAAGCAAUAGUGAUGUCAUCAGCUCACAUAGAAACAGAAUACUAACCAUUCUUGGAAAAACAGCUGUAUCUUUACUGCUGGAAAUAUAGUGCCUUGAUCCAUGGAAAUCUGCUCAGUUCAUAAUCCAGAAAAGAGUUAUGAGAGUUUGAAAAGAAAAAAAUAACUGCAAGUCGAAAGGCCUUUUGAGGGAUGAUUGAAUGUAUGAAUCUGAGUGUGCUAGAACUGUCAGAAAAACUCCCUCACCUAAGAGAAAAUGUCAAGAAACUGAAUAACAGAUUAAUGGCUUUCCUAAACAUCAAAACAAAAAUGCAAAGAGAAAAGGUAGAGCUCAAAAAGUAUGCCAGUAUUGGCAACAACUGGCAUGGUAAGCAGUUCUUAAGAAAAAAACAUCAUCCACUCAGGAAGUGCAAGCCUGUGAAAAUCAGGCUUGAAAAUAAAGAAGAAAAGAAAGAGAGGAAGAAAGGGAUAAUUGCUUCUUUUCUGGAAUUGUUUAAUUGGCUGAGCACUUGGAGGACCCAAUAUAAAGGAGCAAUAGAUGACGAUCAAGAACUGAUUCCACUGGAUUUAUUUGAUACUUCCUGUGACACAAUAUAAGUUAUUUACACUCAUGUUUUCUUUGCUCUCCUCCUGCUUUAAUACAAGAUCUUUCCUUUUUUAAAUUAAAAAUGUUUAAAAAGUA